CCCUUAGAUGUUCUGGGCGGCCCGCGCACUACAUUGGCACUAGCAAAGAGAUCCUAGAUUGAAUUCUUUGGGGUAUUCUUCUAAAUGGUGUCGUGACUGGGAUAAAUCCUUGUAAUUAUUGGUUUUGAACGAGGAAUUCCUUGUAAUCGCGGUUUAUCAGCUCGCGUUGAAUGCGUCCCUGCCCUUUGUACACACCGCCCGUCGCUCCUACCGAUGGAUCGCCCGGUGAAGCUCACGGAGUGACUGUUCACGCAACGGUUUACGAAGUGAAAUGGACCUCACGAUUUAGAGGAAGGAGAAGUCGUAACA
rnacentral:rRNA from 1 species